UCUCCAAAUGGCAUCAUCAACUACCUUGCUCCUUUUCCUCCUCUUCCCCCUCCUCUCCCAUGCCGCCAACUUCAACGUCGUAAACCAGUGCUCCUACACCGUCUGGGCUGCCGCAGUCCCCGGCGGAGGCCAACAGCUCGACCCCGGCCAGUCCUGGACUGUCACCGCCCCGGCUGGCACCACUGGUGGCCGCAUCUGGGCACGCACAGGCUGCAACUUCGACGCCAAUGGCCAGGGUAGCUGUGGGACCGGCGACUGCGGCGGCGUACUCCAGUGCACGGCCUACGGCGCCCCGCCCGACACCCUCGCCGAGUACGCCCUCGCCCAGUUUGACAACCUCGACUUCUACGACAUCUCCCUCGUCGACGGCUUCAACGUCCCCAUGGACUUCACCCCCACAUCCGGUGGCUGCCACGACAUCAACUGCUCCGCCGAUGUGGUGGGACAGUGCCCGGCAGCCCUUCAGCUUGACGGGGCCUGCGGCAACCCAUGCACCAUUUUCAAGACCGACGAUUACUGCUGCACCGGAUCGGCGGCGAACAGCUGUGGGCCG
rnacentral:misc_RNA from 1 species